GUCUAUGACCAUGCCACCCUGAAAAGUCCGAUGUAUGAUCUCGGAAGCUAAGCAGGGUCAGGACUAGUUAGUACUUGGAUGGAGACUACCUAGGAAGGCCAGAUGCUGUAGGCA
rnacentral:rRNA from 1 species